UCUCUCUCUUGUUCGAUUGAGACUCGCCCCCAGGGGAGGCUCGGGGAAACCUAUCCCCCGAUCUCUUGCGGAAAACGAGGCAGCUCAUCCCGCUCAACCGCUUACUACUCGAGAGCGGGAGA